ensembl:snRNA U2 U2 spliceosomal RNA
GUCACUUCUCGGCCUUUUGGCUAAGAUCAAGUGUAGUAUCUGUUCUUAUCAGUUUAAUACCUGAUACGUCCUCUAUCCGAGGACAAUAUAUUAAAUGGAUUUUUGGAGCAGGGAGUAGAAAUAAGAGCUUGCUCCGUCCACUCCACGCAUUGACCCGGUAUUGCAGUACUUCUGGUGCACCAAAAAAAAA